rnacentral:rRNA from 1 species
GCCUAAAAUCUAGCCGUAUAUUCACACGAACCCCCCCCCCCAAAAAAAUAAAACAUUUUCUCAUUAUAGUACAGGUGAUCGAAAAACUUCUAAGCGCUUCAGAAACAGUACCGCAAGGGAAAAAUGAAAUAUAAUUGAAAUAACCUUUAAGCCCUAAAUAGCAGAGACACCCCCUCGUACCUUUUGCAUCAUGGUCUAGUUAGUCUACUCAAGCAAAAUGAAAUUUUUAGUUAGAAACCCCGAAACUAAGCGAGCUACUUCAAAACAGCCCGAAGAGCUAACCCGUCUCUGUUGCAAAAGAGUGGGAAGAUUUUUAAGUAGAGGUGAAAAGCCUACCGAGCUUAGAGACAGCUGGUUGUUCAGGAAAAGAGUUUUAGCUCUACCUUAAGUUUACUCACGAUUUAAAACUAACCUUAAAACUUAAGAGCUAUUCAAAUAAGGUACAGCUUAUUUGAAACAGGAUACAACCUAUAAUAAUGGGUAAAUAAUAGUGCUUAGAAUAAAGUUGGCUUAAAAGCAGCCAUCUAAGAAAGCGUUAAAGCUCGACUCUGCCACUAGUAAUUCCUAAAACCUUAAUUAACCCUUUAUUUUUACUGAACCAUUUUAUAAUUUUAUAAAAAUGAUAAUGCUAGAACUAGUAACAAGAAAUUGAUUUCUCCUAAAUAUAAGCAUAAACCAAAAAGGACUAUCCAUUGGUAAUUAACGUGCAUGAAAAAAUUAUAUUAACCCCCCCCCCCCCGAAAAAUUUAUAACCCCUAACGUUAACCUUACAUUAGAAUAUUACAGGAAAGAUUUAAAGAAAAAGAAGGAACUCGGCAAAUUUUAGUCUCGCCUGUUUACCAAAAACAUCGCCUCUUGCCUGAAUAUAAGAGGUCCAGCCUGCCCAGUGACAUAGUUUAACGGCCGCGGUAACCUAACCGUGCAAAGGUAGCAUAAUCACUUGUUCUCUAAAUAGGGACUUGUAUCAACGGCACCACGAAGAUUAUACUGUCUCCUUUUUCUAAUCAGUGAAACUGAUCUCCCCGUGAAGAAGCGGGGAUUUUAAUAUUAGACGAGAAGACCCCAUGGAGCUUAAAACUCGUCACUCACCUCUUUACCACACAUCUACAAAGUUAAGAGUUCUUGCGUGUCAGUUUUUGGUUGGGGAGACCUCGGAGUAUAAUAAAACCUCCGUAAUAAAUGGACUAGCACCCUUAUCCACGAGAAACGGCUCUAAGAACUAAUAUAUUAAUAUUUAUGACCCAACAAUUUGAUAAAUGAACCAAGUUACCCUGGGGAUAACAGCGCAAUCUACUUUUAGAGCCCCUAUCGACAAGUAGGUUUACGACCUCGAUGUUGGAUCAGGGUCUCCUAGUGGUGCAACCGCUACUGAUGGUUCGUUUGUUCAACG